rnacentral:rRNA from 1 species
UACGUAGGGUGCGAGCGUUGUCCGGAAUUAUUGGGCGUAAAGAGCUUGUAGGUGGUUUGUCGCGUCUGCUGUGAAAAUCCGAGGCUCAACCUCGGACUUGCAGUGGGUACGGGCAGACUAGAGUGUGGGUAGGGGAGACUGGAACUUCCGUGGUGAUAGAGCGGUGGGAAUGCGCAGAUAUCAGGAGGAACGACCGAUGGCGAAGGCAGGUCUCUGGGCCAUUACUGACACUGAGAAGCGAAAGCAUGGGGAGCGAACAGG